rnacentral:rRNA from 1 species
UACAGAGGGGGCAAGCGUUGUUCGGAAUUACUGGGCGUAAAGGGCGCGUAGGCGGCCUUCUAAGUCGAACGUGAAAUCCCUGGGCUCAACCCAGGAACUGCGUCCGAUACUGGAAGGCUUGAAUCCGGGAGAGGGAUGCGGAAUUCCAGGUGUAGCGGUGAGAUGCGCAGAUAUCAGGAGGAACACCGAUGGCGAAGGCGGGUCUCUGGGCCGAUACUGACGCUGAGGAGCGAAAGCGUGGGGAGCGAACAGG